rnacentral:rRNA from 1 species
UACGAAGGGGCUAGCGUUGCUCGGAAUCACUGGGCGUAAAGGGUGCGUAGGCGGGUCUUUAAGUCAGGGUGAAAUCCUGGAGCUCAACUCCAGAACUGCCUUUGAUACUGAAGAUCUUGAGUUCGGGAGAGGUGAGUGGAACUGCGAGUGUAGAGGUGAAAUUCGUAGAUAUUCGGAAGAACACCAGUGGCGAAGGCGGCUCACUGGACUGGUAUUGACGCUGAUGUGCGAAAGCGUGGGAGCAAACAGGG